UCAGUGGGUGUGACAACAGUCCCUGGUCUUGUGAUGCCCAAAUGGCACGUUAAGCAAACGUAUAAAAGAGCAAGACUUUUUCUGUUCAACACCUCAGAGCGACACCCAGAAGGAACGAAGAGAAGAUAAUUCACCAACAGGUUAACUCUUAUUUUUCUUUUGCCUUUCUUUAAUGGACUGACAGUAACUAAGAGUCAUAGUUUCUCCAUGUGCGAGUCUUAUUAACACGUUGUCUUCUUUCUUUUUGUCAAGUUCAUCAUUGUUAAUAACUGCCCAAACUUCACCAUGAAGAUGCUGGCUGUGUCUCUACUUCUUCUUGCCAUUAUGGCUCUGACUGAGGGGACUUCUCCUCCUGAAACGGUUCCUCCUCCGAUGCCAACUCCUGAACGUAAGUGCACUUUUCUUCAGAAUUAUUACAAGGCACAUGUAUAUGACACUUAGUGAAGUUUUCGGAAAACUUACUGGUGUUUUUUUUUUCUUGUCAUCUAAAAAAGAAAUAAUAGCAGAUAGUUAUGCAUCACAUGAGUACAUUUUCCCACAGAUUUCUUUUAAAACACAUGACACUCUGUUAUGUAUAUGUAUUUAUAUUGUGUAAGGUACUUACCCUCAUCGCUUGUAUGUCAAAUUGUCCAGUUCAUGCAGGGACGGAUGAGGUGAGCAGUGAGGAAGGUGAAAGCACCGAAGGGGAUGGAACUGAGAAUGCAUCAGAAGCCGAUAAGGGAGACGAAACAGAAGACGAUGAGGGAGACGAAACAGAAGACGAUGAGGGAGACGAAACAGAAGACGAUGAGGGAGACGAAACAGAAGACGAUGAGGGAGACGAAACAGAAGACGAUGAGGGAGACAAUGCAGAAGACGAUGAGGGAGAUGAGUCCGCAUCAAAUGAGGAAGAAGGAAGUGGGGGAUCUUCAGCAGAGGCAGGUGGUCAGUAGAUGAUCAAGCUCCAAUGUCCUGGGAUGAUGGGUGGUGAUCGGAUCAUCGCAGACAAAGAAAAAAAGGAGCCUUGAUGCACCGGUGAAAGGUGCAAACAUUGGAAAUGUGUUUGUUUCUACAUUUGACAUCAAAUCAAAUUUGCAUUUUAUGCCUUGCUGUAACGCUACUUGAGGAAAGGAACGACAAGUGACAUAAACAAGAGCUGCUUCUUUGGCCCUGUGCUUUAAGUAAGAGCAGAUGGAAUGGCAAUGAAAGGAAUGCUUUUUGCACAGCUUGAUCUUCUUGUAUCUUGCAUAAUUAUUAAAAGAUUCAAACACUGAAACAAGCUUGUUUGUAAGUUUGGGUGCCACCUUGGUUGGUAUGUGUCCUGUAUCUCAAGAGCUCCAUAGCACCAGUAAAUAAUAGGGACCAUAAUUCUGAAGGGGAAAUUACACAAGAUUUACACUAUGAUUUUAAUCUUUGGAAUCCCAUUGUAUAAUCAAUAUAUGUGGACAUUAAGUAUCAUAAACGCUACUGUAGAUCAACCAACCCUUUCAUAAACCAUCAUGUUACUCUUUCAGCUGUGAUUGCAGUACGAUUUAAAGUCCCACUCCAGACAGUGUUUCUUCCCACCUAAUGGUUAACAUUGUUCAUCAAACAGAUAAACAGGGGGCAUGGUUAAUUCUCAUGUGUGAACUAUUACCAUCACAGCAACACCUCUGUUCUAACAAGAUCUGCAUUACUGGCAUGGAUUAGCAAUAGCACUAAUAUUAGCAUGGAUAAGAUUAAUAACAAUUCAUACUAUAACAAUAUAUACAAUGUGAAAAUAAAGUUUUUAUUAUAAUGAACAUACAUAUAAUAAUUAUGAUUUGCCCCUAAGCAUUUUUUUUCUGCAUCAUAAUUUUAAAAAAAUAGUUUUUUCAGGUAAUAUCAGCAACAAAGGUAAAAAUAUUGUGUUAAAAUAUUACUUUGGUAGACGUGGUAAAGUGCAUAGUUUCUUGACUGGCCCAGACAGAGUCAGAUCUCAAAGAUAAUGUUCUCUUGAAAAACAAAAAAGGGAAGAACAGAACAGAACUGACCAGUCACAGCAGCGCAGAUGAAGUCUUCGUAUAUCCAAGUGUUGCAAUCACUAUUACAACACUGAUCACUAUCACUGUUACUUCUUGUACAUUCCCUACAGUUCAUGAAGUACUGCAUUAAUUGGUGUGGGUGCAAAGCUGACCCUUUGGCAGCAGUAGAAACAGAUGGUGGCAGUUUCAAAGCAGACGUUUAUUUAUAUGGCUUAUACUUCAGAAUAUGACUUGGAUGUGAAUAUUAAUCUAUAUGCGGUGUGAAAAAAAUAUUAAAAUAUUUUUUGAGUUUAUUUUCCUUAAAAACAAUUUUCUGAUUGCGAAACAAAUAACUUUAAAAUGUUUCUAUGUUCAGCAUGAUUGUUUUGUUUAUCUCUGCUUAAGAAUUCUGACAAGGUUUGUGAGCCAGUAGUAUGAUGUUGUCAGUAUCAGGUGUUAUCUGUGUUUUGCCUUGGUAGAUCCCAGCACACUGUAAUGCCCUAAUUAUUAGCAACAUUUCUGUCAGUUGAACAAUGUUGAUUAUAUGUUCACCUUGUAAUUACAUUUUACAGCGACAUGAGGAGUUGACACAGGUUUGUGUUUGAAAUUAGUGUCAUCCUCAUAUGUAUCAAAUUAUAUAUUUAAUGAUGUACUGUUAAAUGUAACAAAACUGCACAUCCUUAUACUGACCCUGGUUUGUUUGAGUUUUCUGGAGGCCUCUAACACUAACCCUAUGCCUUACUUAUGUUAGGGUGAAGAAAGAUAAAUAGUAUAAUAGUCGAGUGUGUUCAAUUCACACUUCCUGACUGUACAUGCAAAUAUUUUUAGACAAAGAGAGAAAUGUUCAUGUAUAACAUUUGCCGAAUGGGGAAAAAGGCCAAAAUAGUUAAGACAGUGCUGCAGAAAGCCGCUCACAAAGGUCAUACACUUUCUCCUCACGCUCCAAGUCUUCCUCUUCAUUGUUCUCCAAAGAAGUGACCAAUUUGUUAUUGUUACUGGAUUUGUAAAGUUUCACAUGUUUACAGUCAAAAUGUUAUAUUCUUUAACACAUUUGCCAUGAAUAAUUAAAUAAGUUCAAACAGUUGCUGGGAGGUAAGACACUGUAAACCCGAACA
ensembl:lncRNA